rnacentral:miRNA from 1 species
AGUGACUACAAAUCUUUUGGACCC